CUUCUUUACACAUGAAGAUUGCAAACGUGCCUUUGGAUACCCUUGUCUUUUCCCUGCUUUUUGAUGUGUGUGACAGUAAAGAGAUUUGAGUUGUCACAGUGAAUACAGGUUACUCAUGCAGAUCCCUACAGACAUCAGGCUCCCUUGAAGAGAGAUGAGGGAUGCCAAGUGGGCUAUGGACAGAACCUCUUGCAGAUGUCAGGGACCAGAACACAACAGGAAAAUAUGCAAGUGUUCAGAUAGGAUGCACUGAACUCUGGGGUCAGGACUGUUUCCUUGGUAAUCAUUCCAACAUCCAGAGAGGAGUGAGAUUCCAGCAACACUGUGGACAGAACAUCUUGCAAAUAGCAGGCACAGGUAUCCCCUAGGAAUGUGGACAUACGAUAGUGGCAAUGGACCAUAAACAAUAGAACAUGUAGAGAUUGUGCAAGUGGACAUGGAAAAGUGGACACAUAAUUGGUAGAAUAUCUGGGGCAUCGUCUGCAGUGAGAGGUCCAGAAUUCAUGAUUAUCCAUGAGAGGCCAUCUUGCUGAACACUGCCAUGUUCCA